UUACUUUAGCCACAACUUCACCGUUGAGAAAACACAGUAUAUGAUUGCCCAUCAUAACGUUUAGGGUUAGGGUGUCAUGAAAAAACCCCAUCAAACAUCAACACAAUAUAUCUAUUCUAUAUAUAUCUACAACAGACUUGGAUAGUCGUGUGCAAGAAUAACCUAUUUACGUGGCUUAAAACAAGUAAUGUAACAGAUAUUUCUUUCAUAGACAGUCCCGCAAAGCACGCUGGGAUGUGCGCCUAUCGACUCUACAUUAUGAAGAGGACAAGGAACUGCUGAUUAUGAUGCGGGCGAGGGAGGAUGUCAAUUAAGGGCCUCAAUUCUUUCAUUUCUUCUCCUUAAAAAUUAUUUUUAUGUCAAUCUUGGCUAUGUUAUUUGUAUCAUGUGUCAUUUGUGUGCUCUCAACAUACACUUGUCAGUCCCAAAUACAGUCAACUUCAUCUAUGUAUGUCCGUCACAGGCCACCGUACUGAUCCGCCAGUCAGCGAUGACGUUACGUGAAAUACAACUAAUCAAAUAAAAACUCUUUUUUCACAGCACCCUACGAACGGUGCCCAAGGUGCUUCAGGAAAGUAUUAGAAAGUAUUUAAGUACUUAGAAAGUAUUAUUUCUCUUGUUAUAGUGUGUAAAAUCAUUGUGAAACACGACGUCACAUCCGCGCUGCAACUUCCUGUUUGCACUUCCUGGUUUCGUCCGGAACAUGGCGCCGACCAUCCCAAUCACGCCGUGUCAAUCUGUUUGCAGCCAAGCUCAAGUAUUCUACAGGGAAUGCCGCAUGUGUUUGGCCAGCUAUUGUCGGCCGGGUUGAGCGUGAACCAGGAAGUGCGGGGAUCUCGUGUGUUCUCUCGUUGCUGGGUAGUGGAAAAAGAAAGUUGCCGGGAAGCAGCAGGCAACCGUGUUUCUUUCCCUGACGAAAUCAGGCCGCCCCUUACCACGCAUCGUUUUCAUUGGCGCCAACCUCAUUCGGCAUCGAGUCGGCGUUCCAACACCCUGACGGAGAACACCGGAGUUGCCAUCUAACUCUGACGCCACACAAGCAAUGCUACAAGAAAUCAUGGAGGGGUCUGAAAUUUUCAUCGUAGGUGCAUGUCCACUGUGAGAGAGAUAAACUAAAAAGAAAAAUCCAGAAAUCACAAUGCAUGAUUUUUUUAACAAUUUAUUUGUGUGAUACAGCUGCUAAUAAGUAUUUGAACACCUGAG